AUACGGAGGAUCCGAGCGUUAUCCGGAUUUAUUAGGUUUAAAGGGUGCGCAGGCGGAACUGUAAGUCACCGGUGAAAUCCUACAGCUUAACUGUAGAACUGCCGGUGAUACUGCGAUUCUUGAGUAUAGUUGAGGUAGGCGGAAUGUGUAGUGUAGCGGUGAAAUGCAUAGAUAUUACACAGAACACCGAUUGCGAAGGCAGCUUACUAAACUAUUACUGACGCUCAUGCACGAAAGCGUGGGGAGCGAACAGGAUUAGAAACCCUAGUAGUCC
rnacentral:rRNA from 1 species